UACAGAGGGUGCGAGCGUUAAUCGGAAUUACUGGGCGUAAAGCGUGCGUAGACGGCUAUCUAAGUCGGGUGUGAAAGCCCUGGGCUCAACCUGGGAAUGGCAUUGGAUACUGGCGACCUAGAGUGCGGUAGAGGGGUGUGGAAUUCCCGGUGUAGCAGUGAAAUGCGUAGAUAUCGGGAGGAACAUCUGUGGCGAAGGCGACACCCUGGACCAGCACUGACACUGAGGCACGAAAGCGUGGGGAGCAAACAGG
rnacentral:rRNA from 1 species